UGGUGGAGCUGAGACUCCCUUUUGCACCCAGAGCUGUUUUACUCAUUCCUUAUAGAAUAAAUAGCCUUGCUGCUAAAAAUCCUUGAUUACCAGAGAUCUGAAGAGC